GAAGAUCGGGGACUUCCAAUACGUAAGGCAGUGAGUCAAUAACCAGAAAGACAAUCCUAUGAGCUGGCAGGCUAGCAUU
rnacentral:tRNA from 1 species